GAUGAACGCUGGCGGCGUGCCUAAUACAUGCAAGUCGAGCGAACAGAUGAGGAGCUUGCUCCUCUGACGUUAGCGGCGGACGGGUGAGUAACACGUGUAUAACCUACCUAUAAGACUGGGAUAACUUCGGGAAACCGGAGCUAAUACCGGAUAAUAUAUUGAACCGCAUGGUUCAAUAGUGAAAGACGGUUUUGCUGUCACUUAUAGAUGGAUCCGCGCCGCAUUAGCUAGUUGGUAAGGUAACGGCUUACCAAGGCAACGAUGCGUAGCCGACCUGAGAGGGUGAUCGGCCACACUGGAACUGAGACACGGUCCAGACUCCUACGGGAGGCAGCAGUAGGGAAUCUGCCGCAAUGGGCGAAAGCCUGACGGAGCAACGCCGCGUGAGUGAUGAAGGUCUUCGGAUCGUAAAACUCUGUUAUUAGGGAAGAACAAAUGUGUAAGUAACUAUGCACGUCUUGACGGUACCUAAUCAGAAAGCCACGGCUAACUACGUG
rnacentral:rRNA from 1 species